UUUAUCUAUCUCUCAUUUGCCAAAAAAAUUCAUCAUGUAUAGAAGUGUACGUAGAAUUAAUAAUAACUGUGGAAUGUUUUACUCAACAUUUCGCUGAGCAAUAUAUUGGAACUGAACUAUAUUCCAUAAAUACAGAGAAAUAGGGAGAGAAAAGAUGAGCACAAAGAAAACAGAAGGUGACCUAGGAAAACAUUAUGAGAGAGAUAUUUCAACUUUGAUUGCUAUGAAAUGUCUCCUCAAGAAUGACAUUCAGGACUUUUGGUUGUCCACCAAUCACUCCAAGAUUGACAAGUUCGAUGAUUUGAUAUUGUUCGUGGAGUACAAAGAUGAACGGAAAGAACUAUUUUUCAUGCAACUGAAAUAUAAAAAGGACAAGAAUAAAACAAUAGCGAUAGAACAUUUUAAAGAGAAAAGAUCAGUCUUCUAUUUGGAAACGUUCAAGAAGGCCUAUGAAUCAAUAAUGGAGAAGAAAACGUUUUUCUCUAAAAAUAAAAUUCCUGAAGAUACGAAAAUGUUUUUUGUCCUCUUUAGCAAUUGUAAAGUAGAAAAGUACAGUAGGGAAAGCUCCAACAUGGGAUUUGAACUAAUAAAUAAAACGGAUUUCAGAAGUUUCAUCAGUAGUAACGCAUCCGAAGAAAUUUCGGCAGCAUAUGUAAUACAAGACAAGGAAACCAGCAAAGAGUUCCUGAAACGGUUUUAUUUUUAUGCUGACCAACUCAAUUCGAGUACUGUGUCAUCCGAGAUACAAAGAUUCACCGGACUUUAUCCAGAGUCUGUAGCAAAUAUUUUAAAAUAUUUCUACGACUUUUCCGAUUCCAAAAACACCAUUGAGAAGCUGCAUAAACUGGAUAUAAAAACAAAAUUAUUGGGUUAUAUCUUCGGUGAGUUCGACUCUCCAAAAAAAUGUUCAGAAACCCUUUCUAUAUUGACCAUAAUGAACACAUUUGAUGUCACUCUGAUAAACCAGGAGUAUUCUCGAAUCGUUGUAUGGAAUGAAAUUUUGAACACCAUGAGAGAGGUUUAUGAACUUGAGUCAUUAGAUUUGGAUGAUUGGGAAAAACCUCUUCCAAUUGAGUUACAGGAUGAAUUUCGAAAACUUCUGAACUUGUCGGAUGAAGUCCAAAUCCAUACAAAAGAUCUUUACUUCCAUAUGGUGGCGCAGCGAAUGGUGCCAUUUUACAUUGAAACAAAAAAUCGAUAUUUCGAAACUUUCUUUAAUGAAUUGAUGAUGAAGCUGGAAGUGAUCACUAUUUUAUUCGAUUCUAAGAGAGUUUUCGAAUGGAACCCUCAGUAUCUUGAAAAUAGAAAUGAUUUCAAUUUGCUCCGAAAUAUUGCAGAUUUGGACGAAGAACAAUAUUCAGCACUUACAAAGAGGGUGAAUAUAUCGUUACACGGUAAAAAAUAUUCUCCAUUAUCAUCAUUUGUCGAUAAUGACGAAAAUUUCACAAAAAAAAUUAGCAUAGAUUCAAUGAUCAGUUUAUUGGAUAAAAACCUGAACUUUGGGUCUUCCAGUAGAGAAGAACAAAUAUAUAUUGGGAGAAAGUUGAGAGUUCCAGUUUUGAGUGAAAAGAUUCUAGAAAAUGGUGAAUAUCUUUUUAUUGUUUGCGGUAUUUCCUCUCUCGAAGAUUUCGACUCUAUGUCUUUGCAAUCAUAUCUGGAUUCUAUCGAAAGAGGUGUUGAUCGAAUGGAAGAACUUGACUAUGAGGACGCAUUUCCUAUUCUCACAAUUACAGACACCUUUGAUCAAUCCUUGAUAAAUAAAAUCAAUAUUAUACUGAAUGUCAAAUAUUACUGUAUUCUACAAUUUGUGUAUAAUAAGGCUGAAUCAGGAAAUAGAUUCAUCCUCAAGGAUACAAAUGGACCAUUGGAAUUUUUGAAACCCGGUAUAUGCCAAAAUGAGUAUUACUGUCUAAGAGAUGAUGAACUACUUGAAAAUAACAAACAUUCCAAAAUUACAAUUAUAUGCAAUAAUGCGGGAAUGGGAAAAACAGUGUUACUAAACCAUCUGAAAAAUAAAUUUCCACCUACAGAGUGGGUCGUUCAGUUAGAAUUAGGGAAAUUUCCGAAAGAAUUUGAAAAAAUUGAUGAUUUUGAAGGAUUCAUCGAGUUCAUUCGAAAUAUAGAAAUGGAAACAGUUGAGGAUAUAUAUCGAAGUAUUUUCGAUUUGUUAUUCAAAUACCAUAUUGAACAUGGAAGAAUAGUGAUCCUACUGGAUGACUAUGAAGAAGUGAAAGAAAGGAAGUUAUUGGAAAUCUUCAAAAAUAGUAUUAGUAGAGGACUCAAAAUCUGGAUAGUCGGACGGCCAUUACUGAAAACGGAAUUGGAGGAAAAUUUUGGAGUAUUCUCCAUGGAACUCGAUGAGUUCAAUUUGAAUGACCAGAAUGAAUUCUUCAAAAAAAUAUUCGGUGCCAGUAGAGACAAAAAAGAGUUGAAGAGGAAAAUGCGUUUGGUUGAAAAAAUAAGAGGCAAGUUGGAAAAUUCAUUCAUAGGUAAUUGUCAGCAAACAAUGAUGCUUGCCGAAGUAUUGAAAUCUAAUGAAAAUGUCCUUGGAGAUUAUAUUCGCAUAGAUGAUUUAUACGAAACUUUCAUGAAUUUACAGCUGUCCGAGUAUAAUAGUUCGAGAAAGAAAUUUAUUCUUCGAGUGUUAUCCAAACUGGCCCUGUAUUCCUUUUUCUCUGAGAGGGUUCUGAAAAAGCUUUUUGAAUGGGAUGAAUUUGAAUGUGAUGUAGAGAUGUUCAAGGUGGAAACUCCGAAAUCUAAAAUUGUCACGGAAUUAAAAAAUAAUGUUCCAUCGUUCAGCCACAAAACAUAUGCCGAAUUUCUGGCCGCAAAAUUUUUAGCAGAUACAGUCGUUAAAUAUAUGAGAAAUGAAACUUUAUCUGAUGUACCUGGUGUAUUAAAAUUGUUGUACUGUCAAGAACUGACAAACGUUCGUCUAUUUUUUGACAAUCUAGUGACUAGAAAUAAUCCAAUACAUUCAGCCAUUAUUAAUAAUGAUUUUUCCUCUGGAACAAUAUUGAUGGAAGAUAAUAAAACCGAUAUAUUAGGCAGGACAAUAUAUCACAUAAUGAUGGGUUAUGGGGAACGUUACCAUAUACACAGCGACUCAGAGGGAAAACAAGAGUUACAAAACUGUGACGAACGUGCCAACAUUGAGAGAGAAGGGAACUUGAUUAUAAUCAGGGUACCUAAAUUUUCUAUGAAAGUCAAACUAGAUGAGAGAAAAAAAGAAUUGAUUUCACUCACUUCGAGUUUGAAACUUUUGAAAAGGGAUAAGCUUCUCGAAAAUAACGCUGUUCAGUAUGCUUUGAUGUCUGGGUCUCUGGAAGAACUUGAAAUAGCGAUGUCUACUGGUUUCUUCAUUUCUAGUUCUCAAGUCAGGGAAAUAUUUCGAAAUCUAGAUUCCGACACUUUGUGUUUCAUACUGCUCUAUUGCGUCAAAAAUAGUUUCUGCAAGAUAUUUUCAAAAGUAGUAUCUCUGCGGGGCAUUCGAGAUAUACUGACUCAGAUAAGAGAGUAUAAAACUGGAAUGAGUUUAAUGCAUUUGGCAUUGAAAAACGGGAACUUGAGGACAGUGAAGCAGCUGGUGAACAUUAAAAGUGCAAUCGAAAGCUGGGGAGUAGAUAAGGACCAUAACACUGCAUUACAUUUAGCAUGUCAAAACAAAAAUACCACAGUUCUGUCACUCCUCUACAGUUUGUGUGAAUAUACCCCCUCAUUUUUGAACCUACGAAAUAACAGGGGUUGGAGCCAUCUGCACUGGUUCGCACAUCAAGGCAACGAGGUUUGGGUCGAGAAAAUUCUGGAGUUUCCUAGCAUAGAAGUAGAUGCUGCUUGUAUUCAAGGCAAUACACCUUUCAUCUUGAGUAUACUGAAGAAAAACCUGAGAACAGCUGAACUAUUGAAAAAUAAAGGGGCUAAUAUCAAUAUUGGCAAUAAAAAUAAAAUGACGGCCUUGCAUUUUUCGGCUUCAAGAGGACUUUACGAUUGUACAGAAAAACUUAUUCAGUGGGGAGCAAAACUUGAUACUAAAACAACGUAUGGUGCAACUCCCUUGAUAAAGGCAUCCAGCUGGGGUCGAACAAAAAUUGUUGAAUUACUUCUGAAAAAUGGAGCUGAUAUCGAUUCUGUUGACAAGAACGACUGGACCUCCUUACAUCACGCAAUCAAACGGAAGAAAUUCAAAGUUAUCAAAGCUCUUGUUGAACAUGGAGCCAAUGUUAAUGCUACCACUAGUAAUGGUCAUACCCCUCUCAUUACUGCAUGUAUUAAUAAUGUUUCAAGAGCAGUACAAAUUUUGAUAAAAAGUUCGUUUUCUAUAGAUUUCAGUCAUUAUUCAGAAUCUGAAAGGGGUAACGCUUUGUCAAUUGCAAGAAAAAAAAAAACACAAAAGAUGCAUUUCCCUUCUUGAGAAAGCAAGAAUACGAAUUGUGGAACCCAGAUUUCAAUCGCAAUGUUACGUACCAGUUGACACAAAGCAAUCAUUUAAUGGUGACGAAGAAAGUGAUGAAGGGACUGAAGAUGAUGAAGAUGAUAAUGAUGGAAACGAUGCAGAGGAUGAAGAAGGAAAUGAGGAUGAAGGUGAAGAGGAUGAUGAAGAGGACGAUGAAGAGGACGAUGAAGAGGACGAUGAAGAGGACGAUGAAGAGGAUGAAGAUAUUGAUGUAGGAGUUGACGAUGAUGAUGAGGACGAAGACGACGCCGAAGAAGAUGAUGGAGAAGAUGAUUACUUUGAUUAGAAAAACGAUUAUGGUUGUUUUUCUAUUUUGUAUCAUCAUAGAAAAGAUUUAUAAUGAAUAGUAAAGCAAAUUAUCAAUAAUUAGUAAUCAGUACUAUAGUAUAUCUGAAUAAUGAUUUUUGUUAUGAGAAUAAAUGAAUGAAUUUUUGUGUGAGUGAA